UAAAACAGAGUCUUAAAGGAGACAUAACAUGAAAAACCCACUUUUUUAUCCAUUAACACGGUGUGUUUCACAUUUUAAGUGUCUAAGUGAGCAAAAAGGCUUAUAUUAUUCACUGGAGUUGCUAUUUAGAUAUUUAAUAAUUAAGUUUUGGGCAUAUUUGUCCACCCGUUCAGUUUUUACAUUAUCUAUUACAUCAGUAAUUAAUUUAGUGAGGAUAACUACCAAAUAUGGUAAUGGCCCUGGCUAAACACAGAGCCAAUCCGCCAUUUUUUCUUCUCGCUAAGAUUUUUUGUAGUCCUAUUGGAAAAAUGCAGAAUGUCUGGUUAUUUUAGCCACACACAGCUCAAAACUGUUCCUCGUUUUAAGGAAGGGUGGUGUGGCAGUAUUUAAACCCAGGAGCUGAUGACACUACUGCUAAAAAAACACAGAAGAAAAAGUAGUGUGUUUGCGUUUGUUUGUGUGUGUGUGUGUGUGCGUGCGUGCGCGCGCGCGUGGUUCGUUCGUUCUGUCUCCAGGCUAGUGGCUAAGUACUGAGGGCUUCAUCUAUCUAAAAGGAGUUAUUUCCAUCUGAAUUUGGCAUCACCGGGACACAGCAGCAGAGCGAGUCCACAUCCAGAAGACUGGAGCCGUGUUUCACUGACAGGCUGUCAGACUAACGCCCUGAUGAGCUCAGCUGGGACAAACUGGUCUGAUGUUUAGGAACACAGAACGUUCAGAUGUUGGCGUUUCACGUCACCUACUGAGGAAGGAGACCCACCAGUAAAGAGACGGUCUGGACCAGACCAAAAAUAUGGCGAUGACAUCAUGGAACUGGUCUUUGGAAAAGUUUUCCCUGAACCAACUCCGUUUCUAGAUGAGGUAGAGAAGAUCUGCAUCUCACCAACCCUCUGGUCUCAGUAUUCAGACAACGGAGGUCUCCCACUGUUGUCCAGGACCAGUUUGAAGCCCACAUACUGCCCCUCCCUCAUCAUCAGGAAACAUCAAUCCGUAUCCUGAGGACAACAGAAGACGGCAGGAGGACAGGAACUCUGAGACCUAGACACCACCAGCACCGAGACACAAAGCACCUGUGUGCACAAUGCCUGUUUUAACUACUAAAGCCUGUUUAUUAUAUUGUUCUACUUAUUUGCUGUGAGGUUAAUACUUAGAAAAUUUGUAUAUUAAUGUAAACAAUAAAAAAAAUCACUGAU